ACGCUCGACACCUACGGGGGCAGCAGUAGGGAAUCUUCCACAAUGGACGCAAGUCUGAUGGAGCAACGCCGCGUGAGUGAAGAAGGUUUUCGGAUCGUAAAGCUCUGUUGUUGGUGAAGAAGGAUAGAGGUAGUAACUGGCCUUUAUUUGACGGUAAUCAACCAGAAAGUCACGGCUAACUACGUGCAGCAGCCGCGGUAAUCUGAGGCGGGCGUGGACGAAGGC
rnacentral:rRNA from 1 species